UGAACGCUGGCGGCGUGCCUAAUACAUGCAAGUCGAGCGAACGGACGAGAAGCUUGCUUCUCUGAUGUUAGCGGCGGACGGGUGAGUAACACGUGGAUAACCUACCUAUAAGACUGGGAUAACUUCGGGAAACCGUAGCUAAUACCGGAUAAUAUUUUGAACCGCAUGGUUCAAAAGUGAAAGACGGUCUUGCUGUCACUUAUAGAUGGAUCCGCGCUGCAUUAGCUAGUUGGUAAGGUAACGGCUUACCAAGGCAACGAUGCAUAGCCGACCUGAGAGGGUGAUCGGCCACACUGGAACUGAGACACGGUCCAGACUCCUACGGGAGGCAGCAGUAGGGAAUCUUCCGCAAAGGGCGAAAGCCUGACGGAGCAACGCCGCGUGAGUGAUGAAGGUCUUCGGAUCGUAAAACUCUGUUAUUAGGGAAGAACAUAUGUGUAAGUAACUGUGCACAUCUUGGCGGUACCUAAUCAGAAAGCCACGGCUAACUACGUG
rnacentral:rRNA from 1 species